GAUGAACGCUGGCGGCGUGCCUAACACAUGCAAGUCGAGCGAAGCAUUUCAAAGGAAGUUUUCGGAUGGAAUUUGAAAUGACUGAGCGGCGGACGGGUGAGUAACGCGUGGGUAACCUGCCUCAUACAGGGGGAUAGCCAUUGGAAACGAUGAUUAAAACCUCAUAACGCCGGAGAGUCACAUGGUUUUCCGGCCAAAGAUUUAUCGGCAUAAGAUGGGCCUGCGUCUGAUUAGUUAGUUGGUGGGGUAACGGCCUACCAAGGCGACGAUCAGUAGCCGACCUGAGAGGGUGAUCGGCCACAUUGGAACUGAGACACGGUCCAA
rnacentral:rRNA from 1 species